CGAGGAGAAGGAUUCUGCCUUCCGAGGCAUCUGCAUGAUGAUUGGUGUCAAUCCUGGGGGUGUUGUGCAGGACUUUAUUUUCUUCUGCGAUGCUGUAGCCUCCUGGGUGAGCCCGAAGGAUGACCUUCGGGACAUGUUUUAUAAGAUCCUCCAUGGCUUCAAAGACCAAGUUGGGGAGGAGAACUGGCAACAGUUCUCAGAGCAGUUCCCACCUCUGCUCAAGGAGAGGCUGGCAGCCUUCUAUGGGGUCUAGGUGAACGUGGAGACCACCAGGUUUUUGUCUGCGUCAUCGUCGGAGGGUGUGCUGGGGAAUGUGCUGCUUCCAGAAGUCACUGUGCCCUGGUCGAGGGGGGUUAGGGAGGAGUGAGUGGGACCUAAAUCCAGGUGCAACCCAGUCUGUGCACCUGUCCAUCUGUCGGUCCACUUGCCCCACCGGGCCUGAUGAGUGGGCAGGUGGGUGGGGACUCCAUUCUCAUCCUACAAAUAGGGAGGGGGGUGGGACUUCUUGGUGGGCAAGAGUUCUCUGGGCUCUAAUCUGGGUCAUCUCGGGCAGCUCACUUGGGCCAGCCAUGUGGGAGGGAGGAAUCCAUAAGGCCUACCGAAUCCGGUGUCAGAUAAGGCAAGGGAAUUACAGGUGGGGAGGGGGGUUCCUUGUAGAGAAGCAUACACUCACAUGUACACAUGUGGACACACGCAUGUGCGGGCUCCAUAGCCAGCUAGGCUGGGCCAACCGCCCCACCAUUUCCUCGACUGCAUGGAGACAGUAGAAUUAGUGAACCCCCAAAUUAUGCCUAUGGCCUUCUGUGUACCUUGCAUCUAGAGUAUAAGAAGCUUCUGCUGUUUUGCCAGAAUUGGUGGUAAUGGGGAGGGCUGGGGGGUUUGGGGGACCUCAGCUGGGCUCCCAGGGCCAAGGGAGGAGGGUGGUCAUCUGGGGGCUGCCUUC
rnacentral:lncRNA from 1 species